rnacentral:rRNA from 3 species
GAAUUGACGGGGGCCCGCACAAGCGGUGGAGCAUGUGGUUUAAUUCGAUGCAACGCGAAGAACCUUACCUGGUCUUGACAUCCACGGAAGUUUUCAGAGAUGAGAAUGUGCCUUCGGGAACCGUGAGACAGGUGCUGCAUGGCUGUCGUCAGCUCGUGUUGUGAAAUGUUGGGUUAAGUCCCGCAACGAGCGCAACCCUUAUCCUUUGUUGCCAGCGGUCCGGCCGGGAACUCAAAGGAGACUGCCAGUGAUAAACUGGAGGAAGGUGGGGAUGACGUCAAGUCAUCAUGGCCCUUACGACCAGGGCUACACACGUGCUACAAUGGCGCAUACAAAGAGAAGCGACCUCGCGAGAGCAAGCGGACCUCAUAAAGUGCGUCGUAGUCCGGAUUGGAGUCUGCAACUCGACUCCAUGAAGUCGGAAUCGCUAGUAAUCGUGGAUCAGAAUGCCACGGUGAAUACGUUCCCGGGCCUUGUACACACCGCCCGUCACACCAUGGGAGUGGGUUGCAAAAGAAGUAGGUAGCUUAACCUUCGGGAGGGCGCUUACCACUUUGUGAUUCAUGACUGGGGUGAAGUCGUAACAAGGUAACCG